GAUGAACGCUGGCGGCGUGCCUAAUACAUGCAAGUCGAGCGAACGGACGAGAAGCUUGCUUCUCUGAUGUUAGCGGCGGACGGGUGAGUAACACGUGGAUAACCUACCUAUAAGACUGGGAUAACUUCGGGAAACCGGAGCUAAUACCGGAUAAUAUUUUGAACCGCAUGGUUCAAAAGUGAAAGACGGUCUUGCUGUCACUUAUAGAUGGAUCCGCGCUGCAUUAGCUAGUUGGUAAGGUAACGGCUUACCAAGGCAACGAUGCAUAGCCGACCUGAGAGGGUGAUCGGCCACACUGGAACUGAGACACGGUCCAGACUCCUACGGGAGGCAGCAGUAGGGAAUCUUCCGCAAUGGGCGAAAGCCUGACGGAGCAACGCCGCGUGAGUGAUGGAGGUCUUCGGAUCGUAAAACUCUGUUAUUAGGGAAGAACAUAUGUGUAAGUAACUGUGCACAUCUUGACGGUACCUAAUCAGAAAGCCACGGCUAACUACGUGCCAGCAGCCGCGGUAAUACGUAGGUGGCAAGCGUUAUCCGGAAUUAUUGGGCGUAAAGCGCGCGUAGGCGGUUUUUUAAGUCUGAUGUGAAAGCCCACGGCUCAACCGUGGAGGGUCAUUGGAAACUGGAAAACUUGAGUGCAGAAGAGGAAAGUGGAAUUCCAUGUGUAGCGGUGAAAUGCGCAGAGAUAUGGAGGAACACCAGUGGCGAAGGCGACUUUCUGGUCCGUAACUGACGCUGAUGUGCGAAAGCGUGGGGAUCAAACAGGAUUAGAUACCCUGGUAGUCCACGCCGUAAACGAUGAGUGCUAAGUGUUAGGGGGUUUCCGCCCCUUAGUGCUGCAGCUAACGCAUUAAGCACUCCGCCUGGGGAGUACGACCGCAAGGUUGAAACUCAAAGGAAUUGACGGGGACCCGCACAAGCGGUGGAGCAUGUGGUUUAAUUCGAAGCAACGCGAAGAACCUUACCAAAUCUUGACAUCCUUUGACAACUCUAGAGAUAGAGCCUUCCCCUUCGGGGGGCAAAGUGACAGGUGGUGCAUGGUUGUCGUCAGCUCGUGUCGUGAGAUGUUGGGUUAAGUCCCGCAACGAGCGCAACCCUUAAGCUUAGUUGCCAUCAUUAAGUUGGGCACUCUAAGUUGACUGCCGGUGACAAACCGGAGGAAGGUGGGGAUGACGUCAAAUCAUCAUGCCCCUUAUGAUUUGGGCUACACACGUGCUACAAUGGACAAUACAAAGGGCAGCGAAACCGCGAGGUCAAGCAAAUCCCAUAAAGUUGUUCUCAGUUCGGAUUGUAGUCUGCAACUCGACUACAUGAAGCUGGAAUCGCUAGUAAUCGUAGAUCAGCAUGCUACGGUGAAUACGUUCCCGGGUCU
rnacentral:rRNA from 1 species